rnacentral:rRNA from 1 species
UGGGGAAUAUUGCACAAUGGGCGAAAGCCUGAUGCAGCAACGCCGCGUGAGUGAUGAAGGUCUUCGGAUUGUAAAGCUCUGUCUUUUGGGACGAUAAUGACGGUACCAAAGGAGGAAGCCACGGCUAACUACGUGCCAGCAGCCGCGGUAAUACGUAGGUGGCGAGCGUUGUCCGGAUUUACUGGGCGUAAAGGGUGCGUAGGCGGAUGUUUAAGUGAGAUGUGAAAUACCCGGGCUUAACUUGGGUGCUGCAUUUCAAACUGGAUAUCUAGAGUGCAGGAGAGGAGAAUGGAAUUCCUAGUGUAGCGGUGAAAUGCGUAGAGAUUAGGAAGAACACCAGUGGCGAAGGCGAUCUCUCG